rnacentral:rRNA from 1 species
UACGAAGGGAGCUAGCGUUGUUCGGAAUCACUGGGCGUAAAGCGCACGUAGGCGGAUGUGUCAGUCAGGGGUGAAAUCCUGGAGCUCAACUCCAGAACUGCCUUCGAUACUGAGAGUCUCGAGUUCCGGGAGAGGUGAGUGGAACUGCGAGUGUAGAGGUGAAAUUCGUAGAUAUUCGCAAGAACACCAGUGGCGAAGGCGGCUCACUGGCCCGAUACUGACGCUGAGGCACGAAAGCGUGGGGAGCAAACAGGG